GCGGGUGUAACUCAUUGGUAGAGUGUUAGCUUCCCAAGCUGAAAGUAGCGAGUCCGAUUCUCGUCACCCGCUCCA
rnacentral:tRNA from 3 species